rnacentral:tRNA from 1 species
GGCUCCGUAGCUUGGAGGAACGAAGCGCCUGUCUAGCGAAUUGGGAGUCGUGGGUUCAAUUCCCACCGGAGCAC